rnacentral:tRNA from 2 species
CCGGCUGCUGGCCGGCGGGGACGCCUGAGCGCCCGGCGAGCGCUCACAGCAGCGGCUUGCUCAGGGAGUGGGUCACCGCCUCGUAGCCGAG